rnacentral:hammerhead_ribozyme from 1 species
AUCCAUCUGACAAGUCCAAAAUAAGACGUAGCGCGAGUCCUGGAU